GGAGAGUAACGCGUGGAUACCUACCUCGAGGUUCGGGAUAGCUGCGGGAAACUGCGGGUAAUACCGAAUAACAUCUCCGGAUCAAAGGUGUGAUUCCGCCUGGAGAUGGAUCCGCGUCCUAUUAGCUUGUUGGUGGGGUAACGGCCUACCAAGGCGACGAUGGGUACCGGGCGUGAGAGCGUGACCCGGCUCACUGGGACUGAGACACUGCCCAGACACCUACGGGUGGCUGCAGUCGAGAAUCUUCGGCAAUGGACGCAAGUCUGACCGAGCGACGCCGCGUGCGGGAUGAAGGCCUUCGGGUUGUAAACCGCUGUCAGUUGGGAGGAAAUCAUAUGGGGUUCUCUCCAUAUGUUGACCUAUCUUCAGAGGAAGGACGGGCUAAGUUCGUGCCAGCAGCCGCGGUAAGACGAACCGUCCAAACGUUAUUCGGAAUUACUGGGCUUAAAGGGUGCGUAGGCGGUGCUGUAAGUUGGGUGUGAAAUCCCUCGGCUCAACCGAGGAAUUGCGCCCAAUACUGCAGUACUAGAGGGAGACAGAGGUGAGCGGAACUUGUGGUGGAGCGGUGAAAUGCGUUGAUAUCACAAGGAACACCUGUGGCGAAAGCGGCUCACUGGGUCUUUUCUGACGCUGAGGCACGAAAGCUGGGGGAGCGAACGGGAUUAGAUACCCCGGUAGUCCCAGCUGUAAACGUUGAGCACUAGACCGGAGGACCCCCCAUAGUUUUCCGGUCGUAGCGAAAGUGUUAAGUGCUCCGCCUGGGGAGUAUGGUCGCAAGGUUGAAACUCAAAGGAAUUGACGGGGGUCUCACACAAGCGGUGGAGGAUGUGGCUUAAUUGGAGGCUACGCGUAGAACCUUAUCCUAGAUUUGACAUACAUGGAUGGGCCGCCUGAAAGGGAUGGUUCCUGCCUUCGGGUGAAACGUGCACAGGUGCUGCAUGGCUGCUGUCAGCUCGUGUCGUGAGAUGUCGGGUUAAGUUCCUUAACGAGCGAAACCCUUGUCACUAGUUGCCAGCGAGUCAUGUCGGGGACUCUAGUGAGACUGCCGGUGUUAAACCGGAGGAAGGUGGGGAUGACGUCAAGUCCUCAUGGCCUUUAUGUCUAGGGCUGCACACGUCCUACAAUGGCGCAUACAAAGGGAAGCGAACCUGCGAGGGCAAGCAAAUCCCAAAAAAUGCGCCUCAGUUCGG
rnacentral:rRNA from 1 species